CAGGCCAGGCUGGACAGGGCUUGGAGCAACCGGGGUUAUGGGAAAGUGUCCCUGUCCACGGCAUGCGGUGGAACGGGAUCAUCUUUAUGGUACCCUUCAACCCAAAUGAUUCUGUGAUCUGUUUGAUUCUUUGAUCUUAUAAUUCUGUGACAGUCCCAGAGUGUCUCUUCUCUUUCAAGUCGAGGAGGAGUAAUAUUUCACAAAGCUUUCGUUUCCCAGGAAAGGGUUAAAAGUCUUGGACUUCCCUGGCUGCUGAAAUCUCAGCCCAGAUUCCAACUCCCAGGGCUGGGCACCUUCCCCCCACCUCCUCCUUCUCCUUUGCCAGUGAAUUUCCAGGUGCCUUCAGCCUCUCUGUCUGUUUCCCUCUGGUGGUGUGGGGGCUUGGGGAACAAAGACAUCUCAGGUUUCCUCCCCCUGGCCUAUCCCUCCCAGGCCGCAGGGCUUCCAUUCCCCCACCCAGCCCGUGGUGGCGGGGCAGAGUCUGCACUCUCCAAAGAGACAGUUCUGCUGGGAGUUCUUGCUUUUAACCCUGUGUUCUCAGAGGCGUGCCCAUGCCUUCAGUGGCCACUCCAGGUGCCAAUAUCCAAACCUGACCACUGAUUGCUUUGAGACCGGCUACCUGAGAAAAUUCACUUCCGUGUCCAACCAUGAAAAUCUGCGUUUCCAGAUGUUCCUUUGUUUUGCUCCUUGUGCUCAGGGUCCCCUGCACAGCCCGUGUGGCAGAGCCGGUGCCUGUCCUGCCGCAGUGUCCAAAGGCGGCCCCCCCGGCGGGCAGGGCCGGCAGCUCCCCGGGGCCGGGCAGCGGCCGGGGCGUCCCGCAGCCUCCUGGGGGCCGGGGGCCACUGCCGGCCCUGCCCGGGGCUGGUGGGCUCAGGCAGCGCCCGGCGCUGAGCCCCGGCUGCCCCACAGCCCCGGCCCGGCCCCGCAGCUCCCCACAGGCCCCCAGCCCUGCUCCCGGUCCCGCACCUCUGCGCCCGCUGCUGCCGCUGCCCACCACAGAGAAACCCCUGACAUCCUGACCUCCUGCUUUUCCUCUCCUGGAAACCGGGCAUGGAAAGGAUCUGGAUCAGCUGGCAAAUUGUGAGGAUAAAACAGUGCUGGAAAAUAAAAAUAAAGCAAUUACCGCCCUGAUGUGUCACUCGUCUGUCUCCUGGUCACUCCCGGGUCCCCAAUCAAUCCCCGGUGCCGCCGCCAGCCAAGGGAGCCGAUCACCCAAAGUGGGUGAGGCACCUUCCGCUGCACUCUCUGCCCGCUCCCGGAAGGUGGAAGGAAUUCGGGAUGAGCCCCCGGGUGUGCGGAAAAACUGACAUCACCAGAGGAUUCUGUCCACAAAGCAGACAGAGGAGUCCUAUAAAGUAAUUUCAUUCCUAGAAAUGAGGCAGGAUAUGUCACAUUCCCCAUGGGAUCUCUCCAAUUGUUGAAGGACAGAGCCUCCUUUUCACCCUAAUUCUCCUGGCUACAUCUCUGUCUCCCUUUCCCCAUUAGCUGAAGUACUUGAGAGCUGCGGACUUCCCAGUACAUCUACUACAUACCCCCUUAAUAUGCUCCCCAUUUUUAUAUAGCAAACGAUAUUCAUGGCUCUGUUAAGUCUUUGUUGUUCUUCUGGAAGUUCAUGAAUUGAGCAGGACCUUGGCUGAGCAGCAGUCUGUGUCAUCAAUUAAUAACAUUUUCUGAAACCGAUGGCUUCUCCUGUCACUUCCUUAUGUACAGGUUCCCGGCCCUAUCUCCAGGAAGAUUCAGAGCAUCUGUUUGUAAAGACACUUUGCUCUUGUUCCUUUCAUGGGGGUCCCCCGUUUGUGGGACAUCCCCCCUGGAGCAGGGUGUCCCCUCUUUGCUGCAGCCGCAGCCCUCAGGCAGAGCUCAGCCAGUCAGAGCCCGCGGCGCUGAUGACUCACCAGUUUGUUAGCGUUCAGAAACACAUAAUCUCGGGAUAUGAUUACAUGCAGGUGCUUUUAUUGAGAGCUCUGGGAGUCGGAGUACAAACUCAGAUCUGACUCCGAACAUAAGUUUCGAACUGAACGUAUUUUAUACCCUAUCAUUGUAUAAUUAUUAAACUUACAUUGUUCUAUU